rnacentral:rRNA from 1 species
AUGCAAAGAACUUUGAAAAGAGAGUUAAAGAGUACCUGAAAUUGCUGAAAGGGAAGCGAAGGAAAUCAGUGCUUGCUGAGUCAUAUUUCUCACUUUGCUUGCAGAGUGGGCGCUGUGUCUUGGCGUGUGUCAGCCUUGGUUGGGCCUGUCGGAAUCGCGUAGUGAGAGUUGAUCACUGCAUGUCUGCGACGAGCUUGACUGAGUUUGACAAAAUGGUUUUCUUUACCCCGUCUUGAAACACGGACCAAGGAGUCUAACAUAUGUGCGAGUAUAGGAGUGUCAAACUCCCAUGCGUAAUGAAAGUGACAGUGGUUGGACCUUGUGGCACAAUCCGCCGGCCUCAAUCCUUCGGGAGAAUGGUCUGAGUGUGAGCAUACAUGUUGGGACCCGAAAGAUGUGUGAACUAUGCCUGAAUAGGGUGAAGCCAGGGGAAACUCUGGUGGAGGCUCGUAGCGAUUCUGACGUGCAAAUCGAUCGUCAAAUUUGGGUAUAGGGGCGAAAGACUAAUCGAACCAUCUAGUAGCUGGUUCCCUCCGAAAUUUCCCUCAGGAUAGCUGCAAUCGAAUGUCAAUUUUAUCA